UAGGCUGGUGCAAAAGUAAUUGCGGUUUUUGCCAUUAUUUCCAAUGGCAAAAACUGCAAUUACUUUUGUAUCAACCUAAUA
rnacentral:miRNA from 1 species